CAGCUGCAUCAUUACAAUAAACACACAUUUGACCAAAAUAAGACUUUUUUUUUUCUUCUUUUUUUUUUGCUGGCUGUGCAGCUCACUCACCUGCGCGCUCCCCCCUUGUUCGUAGAUGUGCAAGUGCGAGAGAUCCCCUACGAUCAUCUCAUCUCCGCGUUCUCUGCAGUGCACCAUCACUGCACCGACAAACGGCGGCACAAUCAACCCUCCAGACAAGGGGAGCUUUUUCGCUGAAGCAGCUGAACUUUGGAUCACUACACCUGCAAUCGAUAAUCAUUGACUUACUUGAAGAUAAUAAUCGAUUACCGAGCUAUCGAUCGAUAUGCACUACACAAAACUGACCACCAGAUGGCGCCAAACCCCCAACAAGGAGUAACAUUGUUAGUGUGUCAAUUAUAAAAAUUGUAGUAACACGGCUCUCUUACGUUUUCAGCUGUCUUAGCCAUUUCAUAUAAACAUGUCUUUAAACUCUUUAAACUAUUCGUUUUUUAUUAUUAUUUGAGGCCUGCCCAACUGAUUUCAUUUACUCAACAGCUCACAUGUACUUAAAACAAUGCUUUUAUCAUCAAAUAGCACAUUUGAUGAUAAGAAUAUUGUAUUUUGGACAGAUACUUUGAAAGAAACACUAGGCUAAAAUUAAACAAAAUGACAACAAAUAACUGAAAGAAAGUGAGAAGAGGUAAAAGAUAAAUAGGUUUUCACACUCCAUGCCCUAGACAGAAUUUCUUACCACACCCAGUACACUCACUAUCUAUUAUAGUCUAUUAUAGUCCUGUUGCCUCACUAACGAGGACACUUUCAGUUUCAGAUACUCAUAUACACACAUGUGACUACACACAGAAAGAUACACACAUAGAAAGAUCACAUUUUAAAUAUAAACACUGAUUUGGGUCCACUUAAAUCUUAGUAGCAGACAGACUCAAAUGUUGCCCCACACGAUUCAAAUUUAUCUUCAGAAAUAUUUACAGUUUUUUAUGUUUUGUGUAUGUACAUAUCUAUCAAUAAUCAUACUUCUAUGUUUGCUGUUAGACUGUUUUAUGUUUGGACAUUGUUAUAAGUGUGAAUUGGUUCUGCUCCACAGCCUUGCUCCAUAUUUGGAUACACAAAACACCAGAGGCUUUUGCCUUGUGUGCAAUACAUUUAUUUUCUUUACUUUAUGAAUGUGCCUAUUAAUGGAUUUUGGACUGGUGAACAUGUAUAAAUAACUUUUUUUUUUCUUAAUGGAAAAGACCAAUUUGUCUGGGUGACCCUAAUCUUUUGUACGGAAGUGUUUUAAUGAAUAUGUAUUUUCUUAAGUAUUUUUAUUUUGUUUGUGUCUACUUCAUGUUAACUUUUAUUUCUUUGUAAAUUGUAUCUUUAGAUGGGCUUCGAUAAGCAUGACGCUUCAGCCUAGUCCAUUAGAUUCAGGAUUGUAAUCAAGCUACCUUCUCUAUAACAUCUGCAGAAAAAUAUAAAAUAACAAAUAUAAUGCACAAUAUUUUACAUCUAGAUGAGGAGUAUUGGAGUGAAAUACAUCUAAAAAUAUUUAUUUUUGGCAAAAUGGAAGUAUAGAACAGCCAGAGGACCAACCAUCAUAUUUUGUUAGUUAAGUUAAUUUAAAAAAAGGUAAAACAGUGAGCAAACAAAAAACCAGGGGCUUGUGUUCCUCAUAAGAAGAAAGACUAAAACAAAAGUCACCUUAUAAAAGCAGAUUCAGCUCAACACAAAGUCUAUGACAACAGAACAGACAAAAACUGGCUCUCAAAUUACAGGAUAAGAAAAGUGUUUGAAUCUCUGAGUUUAACCGGUUAUUUAGGUCAAAGAGGACACUCAAAACAACAGAUUUUUAUCAAAACCGGUUAAAAACAUCACACAUAAUCUGUUUUAAUAAAUGACUGACUGACUCA